UGCAUCGAUGAAGAACGCAGCGAAAUGCGAUAACUAAUGUGAAUUGCAGAAUUCAGUGAAUCAUCGAGUCUUUGAACGCACAUUGCGCCCUCUGGUAUUCCGGAGGGCAUGCCUGUCCGAGCGUCAUUGCUGCCCUCAAGCCCGGCUUGUGUGUUGGGCCCCGUCCCCCCCGCCGGGGGGACGGGCCCGAAAGGCAGCGGCGGCACCGCGUCCGGUCCUCGAGCGUAUGGGGCUUCGUCACCCGCUCUAGUAGGCCCGGCCGGCGCCAGCCGACCCCCAACCUUUAAUUAUCUCAGGUUGACCUCGGAUCAGGUAGGGAUACCCGCUGAACUUAAGCAUAUCAAUAAGCGGAGGA
rnacentral:rRNA from 1 species